AAAGUCUUUAAAGUCAGUUGCUGCGCCUCUCAUGAGCCAAAAUUUACACACACUCAAAAUUUCUCUGGAUGCGUAUUGGACUAACUAUGAAAUACUUUUCAUCGUGCGCGUACUUGUGCGUUCUACUUAAUCUGGCGCUUCCAGAUAUUGUAUACGGUGAUCAGCGUGCAUCCUGCAUUAGGUGUUUCUGUAAUAAUGGCAGAUCAAAAUGUAUACUGGGGACCGACAAGUGCGUGUGCAGACACGGACGGCUGUACUUGAACAACAAAGGACGUUGCGUCGCCUACGCUGAAUACUGCGGCCUGCAUGCCAAUAGAACGAGUUCCAAGCCGGGCUGCUUCUCUUGCUGGUGUUCACGUGGCAGUGAUCAUUGCGAAUUGAUAGGCAGCGACUGCAUGUGCCAAGACGAAAACGUAUACAUCACCACCAGUGGUAAUCAGUGUGCUCGUGACACGGACGAGUGCUCGCCGCCUCAUUCCAGCAAAAGCACUUGCGCUCAAUGCGCCUGUCCGCCCGGAGAGAAGAAGUGCAAUCUUCUCGGCAACAGGUGCGAUUGUAUCGAUGGGAAAUACUACAUGCCUGGUUCCGACGAAUGUGUCCAAAAUGAAGAGGACUGUAGUUUUCUCAGCCCGGCGAGGAAAGACUCCCGUUUAAGUCUGUUACGAGCGUGGCAGUGACGUUGAAUUUUGAAAAAAAAAAUGCAAUUUUGAAGUUGAAUAAAGAUGAUGCCACGUUGAAAUGCAAG